rnacentral:tRNA from 1 species
GGAGAGGUGGCCGAGUGGUUGAAGGUGGCGCUCUCGAAAAGCGUUGUACCGAAAGGUACCUAGGGUUCGAAUCCCUACCUCUCCG